UAACCUGCCUCAUACACAUGGAUAACAUACCGAAAGGUAUGCUAAUACAGGAUAAUAUAAGAGAUUCACAUGGAUUUCUUAUCAAAGCUCCGGCGGUAUGAGAUGGACCCGCGUCUGAUUAGCUAGUUGGUAAGGUAAUAGCUUACCAAGGCGACGAUCAGUAGCCGACCUGAGAGGGUGAUCGGCCACAUUGGAACUGAGACACGGUCCAAACUCCUACGGGAGGCAGCAGUGGGGAAUAUUGCACAAUGGGCGAAAGCCUGAUGCAGCAACGCCGCGUGAGUGAUGAAGGCCUUCGGGUCGUAAAACUCUGUCCUCAAGGAAGAUAAUGACGGUACUUGAGGAGGAAGCCCCGGCUAACUACGUGCCAGCAGCCGCGGUAAUACGUAGGGGGCUAGCGUUAUCCGGAUUUACUGGGCGUAAAGGGUGCGUAGGUGGUUUUUUAAGUCUGAUGUGAAAGCCCACGGCUCAACCGUGGAGGGUCAUUGGAAACUGGGGAACUUGAGUGCAGAAGAGGAUAGUGGAAUUCCAAGUGUAGCGGUGAAAUGCGUAGAGAUUUGGAGGAACACCAGUGGCGAAGGCGACUGUCUGGUCUGUAACUGACACUGAGGCGCGAAAGCGUGGGGAGCAAACAGGAUUAGAUACCCUGGUAGUCCACGCCGUAAACGAUGAGUGCUAAGUGUUUAGGGGGUUUC
rnacentral:rRNA from 1 species